AUUGAACGCUGGCGGCAGGCCUAACACAUGCAAGUCGAACGAGUGGCGGACGGGUGAGUAAUGUCUGGGAAACUGCCCGAUGGAGGGGGAUAACUACUGGAAACGGUAGCUAAUACCGCAUACCAUCGGAUGUGCCCAGAUGGGAUUAGCUAGUAGGUGGGGUAACGGCUCACCUAGGCGACGAUCCCUAGCUGGUCUGAGCGGAGGACCAGCAAAACUGGAACUGAGACACGGGACAGCGUCCGACGGGAGGCAGCAGUGGGGAAUAUUGCACAAUGGGCGAAAGCCGGAGGCAGCCAUGCCGCGUGUAUGAAGAAGGCCUUCGGGUUGUAAAGUACUUUCAGCGAGGAGGCGUGACUCGCAGAAGAAGCACCGGCUAACUCCGUGCCAGCAGCCGCGGUAAUA
rnacentral:rRNA from 1 species